rnacentral:lncRNA from 1 species
AGAUUUUUUUUGAUAUUUUUUUUCUAAAUUCACAUAUUAAAAAUCAGAUCUAAUCUAAUUUUUAUAUUAAAAAAAAUUAGAAAAAGAACUCCUUCAUCUUCAAGGCUGCAUACAAGAAAGAAGACCCAUCUUCUUUCUUGUCUUUCUCUUGUUGGGAAGAACUUUUCUUCCUCAAUUUUCUGCUGUAUAACCAGCAGAGAAGCCUCUUUUUGAUACUCAAAAACUAGCAAGAAAAAAUCUCAAAAACAUACCAAGAUGGGAAGGAGAGGAGGGGUUGGCGUGUGGAUAUUGGGGCGUCCAACUCUUGGACGCCCCCUCCUUAUUUUGGCGACAAGAAAAGAAGGGGUGAUGCCCUUCUUUCUCACAGAAGAAAUAAAGAGGCACACAUCUCUUUUGGGGCAUGGGAUCUCAUGUUAAAAAGAUUUGAGGCGUGGAGAA